rnacentral:tRNA from 3 species
CCGUAGCUCAAUUGGAUAGAGCAUCUGACUACGGAUCAGAAGGUUGUGAGUUCGAAUCCCGCCGGG